GAGUUUGAUCAUGGCUCAGGAUGAACGCUGGCGGCGUGCUUAACACAUGCAAGUCGAACGACCUUCGGGUUAGUGGCGGACGGGUGAGUAACGCGUGAGAAUCUGCCCUCAGGAGGGGGAUAACAGCUGGAAACGGCUGCUAAUACCCCAUAUGCCGCGAGGUGAAAUGAAUUUCGCCUGAGGAUGAGCUCGCGUCUGAUUAGCUAGUUGGUGUAGGUAAUGGCUCACCAAGGCAUCGAUCAGUAGCUGGUCUGAGAGGAUGAUCAGCCACACUGGGACUGAGACACGGCCCAGACUCCUACGGGAGGCAGCAGUGGGGAAUUUUCCGCAAUGGGCGAAAGCCUGACGGAGCAACGCCGCGUGAGGGAUGAAGGCCUCUGGGCUGUAAACCUCUUUUAUCAAGGAAGAAGAUCUGACGGUACUUGAUGAAUAAGCCACGGCUAAUUCCGUGCCAGCAGCCGCGGUAAUACGGGAGUGGCAAGCGUUAUCCGGAAUUAUUGGGCGUAAAGCGUCCGCGGGCGGCCCUUCAAGUCUGCUGUUAAAAAGUGGAGCUUAACUCCAUCAUGGCAGUGGAAACUGAGGGGCUUGAGUGUGGUAGGGGCAGAGGGAAUUCCCGGUGUAGCGGUGAAAUGCGUAGAUAUCGGGAAGAACACCAGUGGCGAAAGCGCUCUGCUGGGCCAUCACUGACGCUCAUGGACGAAAGCCAGGGGAGCGAAAGGGAUUAGAUACCCCUGUAGUCCUGGCCGUAAACGAUGAACACUAGGUGUCGGGGGAAUCGACCCCCUCGGUGUCGUAGCCACGCGUUAAGUGUCGCCUGGGGAGUACGCACGCAAGUGUGAACUCAAGGAAUUGACGGGGCCGCACAGCGGUGGAGGUUAUUGUGGUUUAAUUCGAUGCACGCGAGACUUACCAGGUUUGACAUCUGCGAUCCUCUGAAACGAGAGGUGCUCGGACGCAUGACAGGUGGUGCAUGCUGUCGUCAGCUCUGUUCUGAGAUGUUGGGUAAGUCCGCACGAGCCACCCAACGUCUUUAGUUGCCAGCAUUAAUGGGCACUCUAAGAGAGAGCUGCGCGGUGUAUAACUAGAAGUGAUAACCCUCAGGUCUAUGGCCUAUCUUGUCCUCACACGUUCUCAGUCUUAGAUCAAAGGGCACAGAAGUUCG
rnacentral:rRNA from 1 species